rnacentral:hammerhead_ribozyme from 1 species
ACUCAGCUGACGAGUUUCAAAUAAGACGAAACUUGCGUCUAGCUGAAU